GGGCGUAUGGUGUAGUUGGUUAUCACGUUCGCUUAGCAUUUCUCUGAUUUCUUUGAACGAGAAUCGGUGGUGCCCCUGCGAAAGGUGUCCGGUUCAAUUCCGGAUUCGUCCA